rnacentral:rRNA from 1 species
GCUUACGGCCAUACCAGCCUGNNUACGCCCGAUCUCGUCCGAUCUCAGAAGCCAAGCAGGCUCAUGCCUGUUAAGUAGUUGGAUUGGAGACCGCCUGGGAAUACCAAGUACUGUGAUCUU